CUUAGUACGGGCGAGUGACAGGGAUAAGCCCAGCACCGAAGCCUGUGGCCGUUUGGCCCCUAGGCAAUGUGGUGUUCAGGUCAGCUCGCGGGGAUACUGCUCCACCCUAAGUCCUAUAAUGAGUAAGGUUACUCGGACGUGGCCCACAGAGGGUGAAAGGCCCGUGGGGGUGGAGACUCAGUUUGGCCAGUAUCUUCCUGAGCAGACCUUGGAGUCGGGUUGUUUGUGAAUGCAGCCCAAAGUGGGUGGUAAACUCCAUCCAAGGCUAAAUACUUGCACGAGUCCGAUAGCGAACAAGUACCGUGAGGGAAAGUUGAAAAGUACUUUGAAGAGAGAGUAAACAGUGCGUGAAACCGCUCAGAGGUAAACGGGUGGAGUUGAACUGCAAGCUCCGGGGAUUCAGCUGGUGAGAUUGGCAUGAGCUUGGUCAUGUUGGUUGUUUGUUCGGGUCUGCUUAGCUGCAGGUCCUCGCCUCUGGUGGGGAUGCGCGUAUCGCUUAUCAAGCGUUGUGCGCCCGGGCUUCUCGAGCCUUCUCGCUAGUGCACUUUCUCGGAGUGUUCACCACGACCGGCGUUGCUGCCUGGCUGGUGCGGUUAAACCGGUCUCGUAGGGUCCUUGUGGCCUUGCUUGGUCGGGAUGGCAGGUAGCCCGUUGUGUACUUCGGUGUGCUUCGGGUGUAAUAGCCGACUGCAUCGGUUCUGUGUGGUACGUCGGAGACGGCGGCUUGUUGUGCGUGCGGGCGUGCCUGUUGCGCUGGCGGCUCUGAGUCUGGUUGCCUUGUUGCUUGUAAAUGCAGGCCUGGUGAUGGCUCGGGGUCGUUUGGUGUGCGGUUGCGUUCGUGGCACUUUUAAGGGCCUAAAGUCUGUGGUGUAGUGGUAGACUAUCCACCUGACCCGUCUUGAAACACGGACCAAGGAGAGUAACAUGUGCGCGAGUCAUUGGGCGUUACGAAACCCAAAGGCGAAGUGAAAGUAAAGGUUCGGCUUGUCCGGACUGAGGUGAGAUCCUGUCGUUUCUCACGCCUGGUACUACCAAGCAUCGAGCGGCGGGCGCAUCACCGGCCCGUCCCAUGGCGUAGUGGCGGCCUCGUGCCUGCUCAUCGUCGGGGCGGAGCAUGAGCGUACAUGUUGAGACCCGAAAGAUGGUGAACUAUGCUUGCGCAGGUUGAAGCCAGAGGAAACUCUGGUGGAGGACCGCAGCGAUUCUGACGUGCAAAUCGAUCGUCAAACGUGAGUAUAGGGGCGAAAGACUAAUCG
rnacentral:rRNA from 1 species